AAUGGGCGCAAGCCUGAUCCAGCCAUGCCGCGUGAGUGAAGAAGGCCUUAGGGUUGUAAAACUCUUUCAACUGUGAGGAUGAUGACAGUAGCAGUAGAAGAAGCACCGGCUAACUUCGUGCCAGCAGCCGCGGUAAUACGAAGGGUGCGAGCGUUGUUCGGAAUUACUGGGCGUAAAGGGCGUGUAGGCGGAUUACAAAGAUAGAGGUGAAAGGCCUGGGCUCAACCUGGGAACUGCCUUUAUAACUUGUAGUCUAGAGAUCGAGAGAGGAUAGCGGAAUUCCUAGUGUAGAGGUGAAAUUCGUAGAUAUUAGGAAGAACACCAGUGGCGAAGGCGGCUAUCUGGCUCGAUACUGACGCUGAGGCGCGAAAGCGUGGGGAGCAAACAGGAUU
rnacentral:rRNA from 1 species